rnacentral:rRNA from 1 species
AACGAACGCUGGCGGCAUGCCUAACACAUGCAAGUCGAACGAGACCUUCGGGUCUAGUGGCGCACGGGUGCGUAACGCGUGGGAACCUGCCCUUAGGUUCGGAAUAACUCCCCGAAAGGGGUGCUAAUACCGGAUAAUGUCUUCGGACCAAAGAUUUAUCGCCUUUGGAUGGGCCCGCGUUGGAUUAGCUAGUUGGUAGGGUAAAAGCCUACCAAGGCGACGAUCCAUAGCUGGUCUGAGAGGAUGAUCAGCCACACUGGGACUGAGACACGGCCCAGACUCCUACGGGAGGCAGGAGUGGGGAAUAUUGGACAAUGGGCGAAGGCCUGAUCCAGCAAUGCCGCGUGAGUGAUGAAGGCCUUAGGGUUGUAAAGCUCUUUUACCCGGGAUGAUAAUGACAGUACCGGGAGAAUAAGCGCCGGCUAACUCCGUG